ensembl:lncRNA
GGAGGUGACCGUUGACCCAAACAGGCGGCGUCAUCAGCCAAUCCAUAUGCUUCAAGACGUUUCAUCGGCCAAUUAACAAUAAGAACGCCUCCGAUCCAGAUCUGGAUGAAGAGGCCCACACAUGGAAUCCUACCACUUGGGAGGCUGAGGCAGGAGGACUGCUGUGAGCUCCAGGCCAGUUUGGGCUACGUAGUUGAAGGCCAGCCUGGAAUACAUAGUGAGACCCUGUCAGCCAGUUACGUCUGUAAGCUCCUUAAAAGAUCUCUCAAAUUCCUUUUUAAAGGUUCCUUCACCAGUGGAAUGGUAAGUGCCAUGUUUCAAAUACAGUUGCAAUGGUUCAUGCUUUCUUCAAAGGCCUGGGAGCUCCUGGGGGCUGGGAACCUUGCUUGGGGGGCCACAUUGUCUCCAGCUUCUCCCUCGCUGCCUGGUGCCUAAAAGGGCUCAGUAAAUCAGGUGGCACUGACUUCUCUGUUCCAGAACCCCCACCAGGUGUUGACUCAGUAAAGGUCUGUACAGAACCAGCCUUUCUCUCCUGUAAGCCUCCUCUUGACCAGCCAUGUGCCCAGGCCGGACAGGGAGAGGUGUUUCCUCUGUGUGCGCAGAACUGUCUUGGGAGGUUGGGAAACGGAAACAGAAACAUGCCUGGACCUUUUCGAGACAAUGCCAGGGUAGAAAGGCUCAUCUCCUAACUUCUGAAUAAAAGUGUUGGCCUACUUCCUAUCACUUUGGGAGAAUCUCAGGCUGCUGGGUGCUGACAUGACCACGAUUCAUAUUAAAAUCUUUUCAUUUAUAGCUGCCUUAAAAAUAGAGUUAGAAACUGGACUUGGUGGCACAAACCUGUAAUCCCAGCACUCAGGAGGCUAAGGCAGGAGAAUGGCCCUGAGUUCAAGGCCAGCCUGAACUGUCUAGCAAGACCCUGUCUCAAAAGAACAAACAAAAAUAGAGUCAGCAUAGUCACUAAUGGACCCUGCUUCCUUUCUCUUGCUGGAUGCGGCCUGGCACACCUCAUACCUUCUGGGCCCUUGUGAAUGUGCUGCUUCUUUCACCCUCAGCCCCAUCCGGAGCCCACCUAGGGGGCGGGAGUUACUGGACAGAUCCCAGCAGGCUCAGCCACAGCUCCCCGCCUCUGCAGCUGGGGUUAUAAAUAACUACCAAAGCUAAACAGUCAAAUAACCACAUUUUGAAAACUGCUAAGAAAAAAAAAUCACUCUAGCCCAUCUCAAUAGCAAUUCUCCCACCCCUCUCCUUCAUCCACUCCCUUCCCUCCACUUAUCUGCUCCCUUCCCUGAUCCACACCCCUGGGGAACUCUGAGCACAAAGCUGUCUCAUGAUGAAGACAUCCUUUUCUAUAUUUGACAGGGCCAAAGCCCUCCAGGGCUGUAGUUCUAGUUGCAUGAUGUUGUUAUGGCAGCAGAGGCCUCGGGGCAACAUAUGUUCCUCACUGUAAUUGGGUUUUCUCUAACAGACCGGCUCUCCCUGGGUUCUCUGUACCCAAACUCACUUAACCGAGAAGGCCAAGGGAAUUGCCUUUACAGAUGGGUCUUCAUCCCACCCCCCCCCCCCCCCCCCCCCCCGCAAAACCGAUUCCUCUUUAUUCCCAAGGAUGUAAUGUAUCCAGUAAUGACAGAUUGAGAUCUUUUAGAUUGCAGGCAUUUUCCUGUAUAUGUUCUUGAGCAUCUUAUAUGUGCUAGGCACUGGGCUGGGAGCUGAGAAUGCAGUGUGGGUAAGCUGAUAUCCUUCUGUCAAUGGAGGGCAAGUAUAUAUGGGGGGGGGACACAAUUUUCACCAGCCCUCAGCCCCCUCCAUCUGUUCAGAAUUACUAACUAGCUCAGUAUAAUAACACAAAAUAAAAUUUUGAUCUUUUACCUUACCAUUACUGCAAAGCAGCUGUAUUUUAUUUUAUUUUAUUUAUUUUUGGUACCAGGGAUCAAACUCGGGUCCUUGUGCUUGUAGGGUAAGCAGCAGAACCACUGAGCUAAAUUCCUGGCCCUAAGCAACUUUUUCUUAAAUGUAGUCUUCCAAUUGUUCUCCACUUGAAAAAUUCUUUUUUAGACAGAGCCUCGCUAAGUGGUUCAGGCUAGCCUCGAACCCUUGGGGGGGUCCUCCUGCCUCGGCCUCCAAAGUGCUGGGUGUUGCAGGUGUGCAUCACCAUGCCUGGCUCUCAUGUUUUUAUGUAUGCCUCUUAUAUACUGCUUUUAUUUCUUUCCCCAAAAAUACCACUAGUUCAAGGAUACCAAUUCAAGAUCUUAUUCCCAG